rnacentral:lncRNA from 1 species
ACCAAUACCUGUGAUUCAUAAAUAAAUUUUGAUGUAGUCAUAUUAAGUAUGACAUUGCCUAAUCCAUAUUUUGAAUUUACGUCAAGAUUUACAAGAGAAACAAAAUCAAUUGCAAAACAUGGUUGUCGCACUUAUUGUAAGUAAUGUUAGUAUCUUGGAUCCAUUAUAGAUGGAAUGGUUGACGCAUCCAAUAAUAUAGGCUUAAUGCCUUGGGACUCAACCAAUAUACAAGGUAUUCACCAAAAUCUGAAAUAGUAAUAAGCCUGAUGGCUUGUGUUGAAGUAGUACUAAUUGCGUAAAAACAUAGAGCCUGUGGGCCUAUAUGCUAGUUAUAGAACUUAUAUGCCAUUAAGGGUAACGAGAAGUGCUAAAAUGUGAAGUAUACAAAGAGAUAAGAUGCUCUCGUCAUUCUCUGUACAACCACGAACGGGAUUCGGUUCGCUUUGGCUGCGUGCAGAAGAAAUCCCCAUCUUGGAGAAUUUAUAAGGAACACCGCGUCACCAAUUGGAGGCCGUCAUGCUUCCCCAUGGGUUGUCUUCACGCUGGGCGCCGGCCAUUAGCCGUUGUCGUCCGCUGGACGCUGCUUGGGGCACUGCGUUGCCUCCCAAUGGAGGUCCGCGACCUCGGGGCGCUGCGCCGCCUUGCCGGCCGUCCUGUCAGCCGGGAGGGCAAGGCCCCGCCGUCGCGCUACGUGCUGUAGGGUGCCACGCGCUCGAUGGAGUCGUCGUGCUGUGUGUUGGAUGUUGUGGGGUGGACGCGGCUGCUGGGCGGAACCAGGCGGACAGCCCUUAUUGGUAGCGGGCGUCGUUGCACUGUGAAAGCGCUAUCGCCGUAGACGGUUGUGUUGAGGAAGGCCGCAGAUGCGGGCACGGCCGUUCGUGUCCACCCCGCCAUGUCAUGCAUCCAAGAUCGCGUUN